rnacentral:lncRNA from 1 species
UAAGGGGCCUCGCUCCCUCGGGAGCUGUUCGCGCCCCCCUGCUGCAACCCCGGCCCGGCGCCGCCCGCGCCCCGCACUUCCUUCGCGACCCCCGAGCCGGUGGCCUUGCCCCCCACCUCGUGUGUGGCCGCCUAGCAUCCUGAGAGGCCGGCACCGGCGUCCUGGCGCCUCCGCUUUCACCUCUGGGGCGCCGCGGCCGCCUCCGAACCGCAUUGCGCGGAUCCUCAUACCUCCAGGGUGGGGUGUAGGACAAAGGGACCGGACGGCUCGGAUGGGCGCCUUGUCUGCGUCGUCGCACUAGGAGCACGUCCAAGCCACCCCCCCGCCCAACCGGGAAAAUGAGCUGUUUUCCCAAUCGCGAAACAUUCCCCCACUCCGCUUUCCCAACCACCAACAAAAUUUAUCCCUGAGAGCGAUUUUGAGGAGUGUCUUGACCUCAUCCAUCGAAGGAUGACAGUGGCUACACAAUGACAUUGUUUUACUCAAAAGAUGUGUUAUCCGCGUGUUUCACCGCAGGAAAACAAACAGCUACUGGCUUGAGAGUUGUCGAGUGGGUGUUGUUGACCGAAGGGGACUGAGGCGUAGCAUUGGCCCUAGGUGUCCCAAAUGAGAUUAUUUGAAACCAGAAGCAGAUGUCUUCAUCAAACACGAAGUGCUAAAGAUUUCAGCAAAAACAGACGGAGUUUUCCUUGGGUAAAGAUCUCAGAAACAAGCCCAUCUUUCCAAGAACCGGAAUUGCAAGAAUCCAGGAUGGGUUACCUGGCUCCUUUGGCUAACGUAUCACAACAGGCUGCAGGCAUCUCAGGGUUCCACGAGGAAGGAUCAACCUCCAAGCCUACUCAGUUCACAGGAUGUCAGUUGGUCUGCCUCAAAGCAAAUGCAGGAC